AGCGAACGCUGGCGGCAGGCCUAACACAUGCAAGUCGAACGAAGUCUUCGGACUUAGUGGCGGACGGGUGAGUAACUCGUGGGAACGUGCCUUUAGGUUCGGAAUAACUCAGGGAAACUUGUGCUAAUACCGAAUGUGCCCUUCGGGGGAAAGAUUUAUCGCCUUUAGAGCGGCCCGCGUCUGAUUAGCUAGUUGGUGAGGUAAAGGCUCACCAAGGCUACGAUCAGUAGCUGGUCUGAGAGGAUGACCAGCCACAUUGGGACUGAGACACGGCCCAAACUCCUACGGGAGGCAGCAGUGGGGGAUCUUGCGCAAUGGGCGAAAGCCUGACGCAGCCAUGCCGCGUGGAUGAUGAAGGUCUUAGGAUUGUAAAAUCCUUUCACCGGUGAAGAUAAUGACUGUAGCCGGAGAAGAAGCCCCGGCCAACUUCGUGCCAGCAGCCGCCGUAAAAC
rnacentral:rRNA from 1 species